AUCAAGCAAGGAAUCUCUCAAAAGGACUUUGCAGAAAAAAUUGGUAUGAAACAGCCGCAACUAGCAAAGAUUGAGCGCUUAGACUCUCUUCCGACUCUGGCA
rnacentral:rRNA from 1 species